rnacentral:rRNA from 1 species
UGGGGAAUUGUUCGCAAUGGGCGCAAGCCUGACGACGCAACGCCGCGUGGAGGAUGAAGACCUUCGGGUCGUAAACUCCUUUCGAUCGAGACGAAUGGCCUCCGGGUGAACAAUCCGGAGGAGUGACGGUACCGAGAGAAGAAGCCCCGGCCAACUACGUGCCAGCAGCCGCGGUAACACGUAGGGGGCAAGCGUUGUCCGGAUUCAUUGGGCGUAAAGAGCUCGUAGGCGGUUCGAUAAGUCGGGUGUGAAACCUCCAGGCUCAACCUGGAGACGCCACCCGAUACUGUCGUGACUAGAGUCCAGUAGGGGAGCGUGGAAUUCCUGGUGUAGCGGUGAAAUGCGCAGAUAUCAGGAGGAACACCAGCGGCGAAGGCGGCGCUCUGGGCUGGAACUGACGCUGAGGAGCGAAAGCGUGGGGAGCGAACAGGAUUAGAUACCCCUGUAGUCCCUGAGCGGGCUGGCAAGGCGCAU